CUCUUAUCAAGAGUGGCGGAGGGACUGGCCCAAUGAAGCCCGGCAACCGGCCAUAUUUUUGGCAAUGGUGCCAAUUCCUGCGGAUUAAAUUCCGGGAGAUAAGAG
rnacentral:ncRNA from 2 species